rnacentral:rRNA from 1 species
CCUACGGGAGGCAGCAGUGGGGGAUAUUGCACAAUGGGGGGAACCCUGAUGCAGCGACGCCGCGUGGGUGAAGGAGUGCUUCGGCAUGUAAAGCCCUAUCGGCAGGGAAGAAGCAAGACGGUACCUGACUAAGAAGCACCGGCUAACUACGUGCCAGCAGCCGCGGUAAUACGUAGGGGGCGAGCGUUAUCCGGAUUCACUGGGUGGAAAGGGAGCGUAGACGGCCAAGCAAGCCAGGGGUGAAAGCCCGGGGCCCAACCCCGGGACUGCCCUUGGAACUGCAUGGCGGGAGUGCGGGAGAGGCAGACGGAAUUCCUAGUGUAGCGGUGAAAUGCGUAGAUAUUAGGAGGAACACCAGUGGCGAAGGCGGUCUGCUGGACAGCAACUGACGGUGAGGCGCGAAAGCGUGGGGAGCAAACAGGAUUAGAUACCCCUGUAGUC